GUAGGAUGUUUAAAUAUAGAAAAGUACCCUAGAUUACAUCUAGUAUUGCCUCUGUAUCUUGGGCUAGCAUAUACUCUGUUGUGAACUAAUGGUUUAACUUGUUCUGGAGGUUCUGGGCAAUCGCGAAUCAUAUGUUGAGUGCUGCCGCACCUGAAACAAGUACCAGUUGAAAGGUAAUAAGGUCAGUUCCCAUGGUUUUUGCCACAUUGUGAACAAUUUGUGAAUUCCUUACAAUUGGGGUCUUCAGAGUGAAAAUCUGAAUAGCUUUUUACUUCUUAUCCAGCUUGCUACAGGUUAGAAAUGGCCACUUA
rnacentral:lncRNA from 1 species